AAAAUUUCAUGUCCUGUAUUUCUCAGUAAAUGAAGCCAGCACCAACCUGUGGAGUGGAGUCCAGGAGAGAGCAUGCCGCCCCUCAGCUAAACCAGAUUAGAUGAAGCCAGCUGCAACCCGUAGAGUGGAGUUGUGGAGAGAGCCCCUCGCCCCUCAGCUAAACCAGAGUAAAUGAAGCCAGCACCAACCUGUGGAGUGGAGUCCAGGAGAGAGCAUGCCGCCCCUCAGCUAAACCAGAUCAGAUAAAGCCAACUGGAACCAUAUUUUUACAUAUUUUAUAUUAAAUAUAUUGAAUAAAACUACAUAUGAUAAAGAAAGUGUUAUCUUAUCUUUUUUAUAUGCUAAACUUGAUUAAAUUGGUGAUUACAUGUUGAA